GACGAACGCUGGCGGCGUGCCUAAUACAUGCAAGUCGAACGCUUCUUUCCUCCCGAGUGCUUGCACUCAAUUGGAAAGAGGAGUGGCGGACGGGUGAGUAACACGUGGGUAACCUACCCAUCAGAGGGGGAUAACACUUGGAAACAGGUGCUAAUACCGCAUAACAGUUUAUGCCGCAUGGCAUAAGAGUGAAAGGCGCUUUCGGGUGUCGCUGAUGGAUGGACCCGCGGUGCAUUAGCUAGUUGGUGAGGUAACGGCUCACCAAGGCCACGAUGCAUUGCCGACGUGAGAGGGUGGUCGCCCGCACGGGAACUGAGACACGGCCCAGACUCCUACGGGAGGCAGCAGUAGGGAAUCUUCGGCAAUGGACGAAAGUCUUACAGAGCAACGCCGCGUGAGUGAAGAAGGAUUUCGGAGCUUAAAACUCUGUUGUUAGAGAAGAACAGGGACGUCAGUAACUGAACGUCGCCUGACGGUAUCUAACCAGAAAGCCACGGCUAACUACGUG
rnacentral:rRNA from 1 species